rnacentral:rRNA from 1 species
CCCUGUCGCUGAGAACUUGAUCAAACUUGGUCAUUUAGAGGAAGUAAAAGUCGUAACAAGGUUUCCGUAGGUGAACCUGCGGAAGGAUCAUUAUCGAGUUUUGAAACGGGUUGUAGCUGGCCUCUCCGGAGGCAUGUGCACGCCCUGCUCAUCCACUCUACACCUGUGCACUUACUGUGGGUAUCGGAAGGCGUCGCGUCGUUUACGGCGAGGCGUUAACCGUGCCUACGUCUUACUACAAACGCUUCAGUAUCAGAAUGUGUAUUGCGAUGUAACGCAUCUAUAUACAACUUUCAGCAACGGAUCUCUUGGCUCUCGCAUCGAUGAAGAACGCAGCGAAAUGCGAUAAGUAAUGUGAAUUGCAGAAUUCAGUGAAUCAUCGAAUCUUUGAACGCACCUUGCGCUCCUUGGUAUUCCGAGGAGCAUGCCUGUUUGAGUGUCAUGAAAUUCUCAAACCCAUAAGUCUUUGCGGGCUUACGGGCUUUGGACUUGGAGGCUUUGUCGGCGACCGCGAGGUCUGUCGACUCCUCUCAAAUGCAUUAGCUUGAUUCCUUGCGGAUCGGCUCUCGGUGUGAUAAUUGUCUACGCCGUGACCGUGAAGCGUUUUGGCGAGCUUCUAAUCGUCUCUUACGAGACAGUUUACAUUGACCUCUGACCUCAAAUCAGGUAGGACUACCCGCUGAACUUAAGCAUAUCAAUAAGCGGAGGAAAAGAAACUAACAAGGAUUCCCCUAGUAACU